rnacentral:rRNA from 1 species
UACGUAGGGGGGCUAGCGUUGUCCGGAAUCAUUGGGCGUAAAGCGCGUGUAGGCGGUCCGGUAAGUCCGCUGUGAAAGUCGGGGGCUCAACCCUCGGAUGCCGGUGGAUACUGUCGGGCUUGAGUACGGAAGAGGCGAGUGGAAUUCCUGGUGUAGCGGUGAAAUGCGCAGAUAUCAGGAGGAACACCAAUUGCGAAGGCAGCUCGCUGGGACGUUACUGACACUGAGGCGCGAAAGCGUGGGGAGCGAACAGG